GAUGAACGCUGGCGGCGUGCCUAAUACAUGCAAGUCGAGCGAACAGACGAGGAGCUUGCUCCUCUGAUGUUAGCGGCGGACGGGUGAGUAACACGUGGAUAACCUACCUAUAAGACUGGGAUAACUUCGGGAAACCGGAGCUAAUACCGGAUAACAUGUUGAACCGCAUGGUUCAACAGUGAAAGACGGUUUUGCUGUCACUUAUAGAUGGAUCCGCGCCGCAUUAGCUAGUUGGUAAGGUAACGGCUUACCAAGGCAACGAUGCGUAGCCGACCUGAGAGAGUGGUCGGCCACACUGGAACUGAGACACGGUCCAGACUCCUACGGGAGGCAGCAGUAGGGAAUCUUCCGCAAUGGGCGAAAGCCUGACGGAGCAACGCCGCGUGAGUGAAGAAGGUCUUCGGAUCGUAAAACUCUGUUAUUAGGGAAGAACAAAUGUGUAAGUAACUAUGCACGUCUUGACGGUACCUAAUCAGAAAGCCACGGCUAACUACGUG
rnacentral:rRNA from 1 species